UAUCCACUGGGCCAAAGUAAAAUACAUCCAAAGGCGGAAUUCUAUAAUGGGCAGAACGCAAUUGUGGCUGUCAAUGUACAUCUAGGAUACAAUCAAGAAGAUUCCUUGGUGAUGAAUCUGGCUUCAUUGCAGCGUGGUAUGUUCAGAUCUGAGCACAUAAGGAGUUACAAAUCUGAAAUUGAUAAUAAGGAUUCUUCAGAGAAGAAGCGCAAACCUGAAGGCAAUAUAAAUUUUGGAAAGCUUCAAAGUAAAAUUGGUCGAGUUGAUAGCCUUGAUGAUGAUGGCUUUCCAUAUGUUGGGGCAAAUUUGCAAAGUGGUGAUAUUAUUAUUGGGCGGUGUGCUGAGUCUGGUGCAGACCAUAGUGUGAAGUUAAAGCACACUGAAAGAGGUUAUGUACAAAAGGUUGUGCUGUCUUCAAAUGACGAGGGAAAAUUUUUUGCUGCGGUUUCAUUGAGACAGGUACGAAACUGGUAAAGAUGCUUAGGUCCGAAACUAUAGGAAAAUUUUCCUUUCACUAGACAAGCAUUGUUCCUGAUAUUGUCAUUAAUCCGCAUGCCUUUCCCUCGCGACAAACUCCUGGCCAACUCCUAGAGGCUGCUUUAGGAAANGGGAUUGCUUGUGGUGGUAAACUGAGACAUGCUACGCCUUUUUCCACUCCUUCUGUUGAUGCCAUUACUGACCAGCUUCACAGAGCUGGGUUUUCAAGAUGGGGAAACGAGAGGGUAUACAAUGGAAGGACUGGUGAGAUGGUCCGAUCACUCAUUUUUAUGGGACCAACGUUUUACCAACGUCUGCAUCAUAUGUCUGAAGACAAGGUGAAAUUCCGCAACACCGGUCCUGUUCACCCUUUGACCCGACAGCCUGUAGCUGACAGAAAACGAUUUGGAGGUAUCAAGUUUGCCAGGAGCUCUUUAGCAUGGGCAUAAAUCUUAAAUUUGAAACCCAACUUUGCUAGACGGAACUAUUAACAUGUAUCUUUUGUUCGUUUCCUUGACUUUGUUCGGUGUAGAUAUCACUUGAUGUUUUCUUGAAUGCUUUAGUCAGAUAGGAGAAUAUCAUCAUUUCCGAGCNUUAAUUUCUUUUAGUAUGUACAUAUAUCACUUUGAUUUGUGCAUGUUUUCUUGAAAACCAACUAAUUGGGAGUAUUGCUUGAUAUCCUGAGCCUAA